rnacentral:tRNA from 1 species
CAAGGAGUAGUUUAAUUGCAAAAUACUAGCUUUGGGAGUUAGUGAUAGAAGUUUGAUUCUUCUCUCUUUGA